rnacentral:rRNA from 1 species
GAUGAACGCUGGCGGCGUGCCUAAUACAUGCAAGUCGAGCGAACAGACGAGGAGCUUGCUCCUCGGACGUUAGCGGCGGACGGGUGAGUAACACGUGGAUAACGUACCUAUAAGACUGGGAUAACUUCGGGAAAGCGGAGCAAAUACCGGAUAAUAUAUUGAACCGUAUGGUGCAAUAGUGAAAGACGGUUUUGCUGUCACUGAUAGAUGGAUCCGCGCUUCAUUAGCUAGUUGGUAAGGUAACGGCUUAACAAGGGAACGAUGCGUAGCCCAACUGAGAGGGUGAUCGGCCACCCUGGAACUGAGACACCCUCCAGACUCCUACGGGACGCACCAGUCGCGUAUCUUCCGCAAUGGUCGAAAGCUUGACGGAGCAAGCCCGCGUCAGUUAUGAAGGUCUUCCGAUCGUAAUACUCUGUUAUUGGGGAAGAACAACUUUGUAAGUAACUAUGCACGUCUUGACGGUACCUAAUCAGAAAGCCCCGGCUAACUACGUG